rnacentral:rRNA from 1 species
UACGUAGGGUGCAAGCGUUGUCCGGAAUUAUUGGGCGUAAAGAGCUCGUAGGCGGUCUGUCGCGUCUGCUGUGAAAACUCAGGGCUUAACCCUGAGCUUGCAGUGGGUGCGGGCAGACUAGAGUGCGGUAGGGGAGACUGGAAUUCCUGGUGUAGCGGUGAAAUGCGUAGAGAUCGGGGAAGAACAUCAGUGGCGAAGGGCGGUCUGCUGGGCCGUUGCUGACGCUGAGGGCGCGACAGCGUGGGGGAGCAAACAGG